CGGGAGGCGGCGGCGGCGGAGCUGCGGGCCGGGAGGAGACACACAAUGAACCCACUGAUACAAGAUACAGCUAGUAAACAGCUAUAAAAUGCCCAAAUCUGGAUCUGCAAAAACAGCUCAAAUAGAAAAUUCUGACAGUGAUAGCACCAUGGUGGAAAAACCAACUGCAAGAAAGAGCAAGGACAAGAUUGCAUCCUACAGCAAAUCUCCAAAAGUGGAUAGGAGUGAUGUGGGGAAGGAGAUGAAAGAAAAGUCUUCCAUGAAACGUAAACUUCCUUUUACUAUUAGUCCAUCCAGAAAUGAAGAUCGCAAUUCAGACACAGAGAAGGAAGGUCCGGAGAAAAAGAAAGUGAAGAAGGAUGCUGGAAAUAAGAAAUCAGCGCCAGUUAGCAUUCUUUUUGGUUAUCCUCUGUCAGAGCGCAAACAGAUGGCACUUCUUAUGCAGAUGACAGCAAGAGACAACAGUCCAGAUUCCAACUUGAAUCAUCCUCUGCAAACAACACCAGCACAAAAGAAAACUCCAAGCUCCUCUUCAAGACAGAAAGACAAAGUUAACAAGAGAAAUGAACGAGGGGAAACUCCUUUACAUAUGGCAGCAAUUAGAGGGGAUGUUAAACAAGUUAAGGAGCUUAUCAGUUUAGGUGCAAAUGUGAAUGUAAAAGAUUUUGCAGGUUGGACCCCACUGCAUGAAGCUUGUAAUGUUGGUUACUAUGAUGUUGCUAAAGUCCUGAUUGCAGCAGGAGCUGACGUGAACACGCAGGGUUUGGAUGAUGAUACACCACUUCAUGAUUCUGCUAGUAGUGGGCAUAGAAAUAUUGUGAAGUUGUUGCUUCGACAUGGUGGAAAUCCAUUUCAGGCCAAUAAGCACGGAGAGAGGCCAGUUGAUGUAGCUGAAACUGAAGAGCUGGAAAUGCUAUUGAAAAGGGAGGUACCUAUCUCUGAUGAUGAGGACAGUUGCUCAGAUUCUGAAGAAGCUCCAUCUGUAAAUCCUUCCAGUGUAGAGGGGAAUGUUGAUUCAGAAGUGGAAAAAGAUUCUGUAGCCAACGGCAGCAAACAAAUUGUUCACAGUAAGGCACCACAUCCACCUGCACUUGAUGAAUAUGAGUUUAAAGAUGAUGAUGAAGAUGAAGUGAAGAAAAUGAUUGAUAACAGACAUAUUCUUAGAAAAGAUGUAAGGAAAGAGGAUGAAACAGAAGUUGAAAAGAACAGCUUAUUUGCGAAACAAGAAAAAGUUACGUUUUCAAAAUCACUUAAAAACAAGAAACAAAAGCCAUCUAGAGUUUUGUAUUCAAGUUCUGAAAGCUCAGAUGAAGAAAUACUCCAGGACAAAAAGGUAGUCUCUCCUUCUUCUGUUUCAGAGACCUCAAGUUCUGAUGUAAGAGCAAAGAAAGAAUGUGUUGUUACAAAUGAACACAAGCAAAAAGGCAAAGUUAAAAAGAAAGUAAAAAAUCAAAGUAAAAAUAAAGAGAAUCAGGAACUAAAACAAGAAAAAGAAAAUGCUAGAGUAACAAAUAUCACUACUUCGGGGUUAGAUUCUUUAGAUAAAGCUAGAGAUGAAGAAACAUUUAAGAAGUCUUUCAGCCAAAAAGAAGAUUCUUCUUUACAACUAUUUCAUAUUGCUGCUGGCAAAUCUCCUAAGCAUCCCUGUGGAUUAAGUGAAAAGCAAGCAACAGCAUUAAAGCAAGAAAACACCAAAACUUGCUUAUCACCAGGAGGCCCAGAAACAGCAUUACAGCCUGAAUUGGUUCGGUGCGAUCACAGUGCGGAUGCUGAGUAUCUAGUGGAAAGCUCUAGUGGCAAAUCUUGUAAGCAUAAAGAAAAAAGCAAGCAUCAUCAGAAAGAUUUUCAGUUAGAAUUUGGUGAAAAAUCUAGCUCUAAAGUUAAAGAUGAAGAUAAUAACCCUACAUUUGACAACUCAGAGUAUACUCUGAGAAAGAUUGACAAGGAAGGUAAAGCACUUAAAAAGCAUAAAUUAAAGCACAAAGAAAGAGAAAAAGAUAAGGACAAGAAGGAUCAGGAUGGGGAAAAGGAAAAACAUAAACACAAUAUUAAAGAGUCCCAAAGAAGUAUUGAGUUUGACAGAGAAUUUUGGAAAGAAAAUUUUUUCAAAAGUGAUGAAAGUGAAGAAACACUGUUAAAUAUAGAACAUGAAACUCUUCCUUCAGACAGAAAAUCGAAGUUGGAUAAAGCUGUGGCAAAGGAAGACAGGUUAGCUAAGGAGAGACAGUUCCACAAGGAGAGAAAUGCUAGGGAGGAGAGAGAGAAGAACAAAAAGGAAAAUGAGAAGUUUCUUAAGGAUGAGAAAAUGAAAGACGCGAAAGAAGAAAAAGAAACUAUACUUGCAGAUAAAGAAAUGGAAUUGUUCUGCUUAAGUGUUAAAGAUGAGGUGAUUAGCAUGCACUUAAUAGAAAAAGAAACAGAUACUGAAAAGCAUGAAAAGAAUUUAAAGGAAAAUAAAGAAAAACGAACCUCAGCCAAAGAAAAAGAUGUUGAAAAGACAGAAAGAAAAAGCGGGGAAAAAGAGAAAAAAAUAAAACACGAGUGUAAGACAGAGAAAGCAGAAGUGAAUGAAAAUAUAGAGAAAGUAAAGGAAAAGACCAGUUCCCAGCAAGCUGAAAGAUGCCAUAAGGAAAACGAUAAAAUAAAAAGCACAGGUACUCUUAAGAAACUUGAUGACAAAGAAAAAAAUAAAGAAAAGACGGAAAAGAAGCAUGACAAAGAAAAGGUUGAUAAAGACAGACAUUUGGCUGACAGCAAGGAAAAACACAGUAUUGAAAGAAAAGUCAAACAGUCUGAAAAAGAACCUGAAUAUACUAAGUCAGAAAAAAACAGAGCUAAAGACAAGGAGCCUGAAAGAAGAGACAAAUCCAGAGACAAAGAGAGUUCAACAGCAGUGAACUCAAAACACGUGCAAGAAGAAAGAAGGUGCAACAUUAUAGACAGCAAUAAAUCAGUGCAUGACAAACUGACGUCUUUGAAAGAAAAGCAAAAAGAUGAUUUCUUGAAAACUCCAGACGGCAGAGAGAAGGAUAAAAAAGAUAAAGAUAUAGACAGAUACAAAGAGAGAGACAAGCAUAAACAGCAUCAAAGUAGUUUACUUAAGCUAAAACUCGAGCAUGAGAAACUUAAGCCUAAAACAUCUCCUGCACCAAAGGAUGUUCGACCUAAAGAAAAAAGGUUAGUCAAUGAUGAUUUAAUGCAAACUAGUUUUGAAAGAAUGCUUAGCCUUAAAGAUCUGGAAAUUGAGCAGUGGCAUAGAAAACAUAAAGAAAAAAUAAAACAGAAAGAGAAGGAGCGUUUAAGAAGUCGCACUUGUUUAGAACUUAGCAAGAUAAAAGAAAAACAAAGGCAGUCAUUACCUGAAGUAAAAAACAAAGAGCUUACUCGUUCAAAAAGCUCAGAGUUGCCAGAUUUUUGUGUGAAGGAGAAACAGCAGAAAGAAGCUACGAGUAGUAGAUCCCAAUCGGUAGAUACAAGAAAUGUAAAUGUUAUAAAGUCUUUAUUGGUUUCGGAUAAUUCAAAUAAAUCCCCCAAAUCAGAAGGUGAAAAGAGCUCCAGAUCAGUGUCCAUCAUUUCAGUUGCAAGUUCUGAGGAUUCCUGCCAUACCACAGUAACUACUCCAAGACCUUCAAUGGAACAUGACUCAGAUUUUGUGCUAGAAGGCGCUGAUUCCCAAAUGUCUUUUUCACAAUCAUCGUUUUUGCCAGCUGCCAAAUCACCAGCCCCUCUUGAAAGAGAGACCGAUGGUGUUGCCGAAUUGCCUGAUCGGAUGAAGCCAUCUUUUGCAAACAGGCUUCCACCAGCAUACAUCAGAUCAGCAUCUUUUGAAGACUUCAAACUGGUUUUAAAUGAGUGUAGACCUGUUGUAGAGGUUCGAAGAUGCAGCAUGCCUGCUUCUGUUUCUGAACACAGCAAACCGCCUCGAACAUCAGAGGAAAAUAACCAGAAUGCUCAGAUGUCAGUUCAGACUUAUCCCAGCACUUCUCCUAAACCUGAACUCCCGUGUAGCAUGGUUGAAAGAGAUAUUCAAAGCAGUUUUUCUGGUUUGCAGUCGUCUCCAACUGGAGCUUUUAGCAACAAGCAGGUAACAGUGGGUACAAGUACCACUAAAAAUAUUGCUCAGAUGAAUCCCUCAGAAGAAUACAAUAUUCAUUUAGAACCAUGUAGUCAAAGUAGUGUGACUCAGCAAACCAAACCUUGGGAUGUGCCUUUUGACAAACUUAAUUCAAUAAACAAUGAGUGUAGCAGCUCAGGUUAUGAUGUAUCAGAGCAAGAUAAUAAUUUUGUAGCAAUGCAUAAUUCUGAAAACCGGACAUUAAAAGAGCAAAAAGUAGCUGAAUAUUUACCCCAGCAUGCUGAGAUCAAGGGAAAUUCCAGUUCUCAAGAAUCUGCAUCGUUCUUGCCUUCACAGUCACCUUGUUCCUUACCCAUCCAGCCACUUCCAGAUGGAUCUAAACACAUUUCUUUACCAGGCAUUAGCAAUCAAGAUUCCUUACUUGUACAACACAAUCUAGCUCAAACUGUAAGUUCUGCCAUCAAUACAGAUGCUAGUAGCACCAGAGAGAUGGAAAAUGUUUUCAUCCCUUCCAACAUUCAGAAGGCUGAUGCACCACAUGCUGUAUAUUCUGAGAGCUCUGUGAAGGAUAUUUCACAGACCUGUGAAAGGGUGAAUGAUUUACCUGUGGUGGUGUUAGAAAAAGAUAUUCCUGAAUCUGAUGGCAGUUCACAGUUAAAUGUAAAUUCAUAUGCGUUCAAUAAACUUGUUUGCAGGAAUACUCAGUUUGAAGUGGAUGGUAACACAGUGGAUACUUCGAACAUCAGGAAUGAAAAAGACCAGCAAGAAAAUUUGAUUUCUGUGCAUGUUGUUAACAGUAAAGCUGACACUGAUCUCUGUGAUCUACGUUCAGCAAUGUCAAAGGGAAUUAUGAACGAUUCAUCUAAUAAAAAGCCCUGCACUGCCGACGGAGAGAAUGUGUUGACAGAUGAAGCACUGCAGUACUCUUUAUCUAAUGCAGAAAAUAGUUCACAAGAGAUUAUACAAGAAGAGGUGCAUAAAUACAGUCAAAUAGUUAAACUGGAAGAAGAAAUUGCUGAGGAUCAGAAGAUGGAACAGCAAGAAGUACCUCAAAGAAUCACAAGAAAUAGAGCAAAUGUACUGGCAAACCAGGGCAAACAGAAUCCUGUUGGCUGCAUGCAGACGUUAGAAAAGGAGUCUGAAUUAUUAGCAUCUAUGAAAGGAAGGAUUAGAUUAACUGAAGAUGAUGAUGGUCAGGUACAUCAUCCACGUAAAAGAAAGGUGUCUCGUGUACCUCAGCCUGUGCAAGCGAACCCUUCUCUACUGCAGGCUAAAGAGAAAACCCAGCAGUCACUGGCAGCUGUCGUUGAUUCUUUGAAACUUGAAGAGAUCCAGCCGUACUGUUCUGAGAGAGCAAAUCCAUAUUUUGAAUACUUGCACAUACGAAAAAAGAUAGAAGAGAAGCGUAAGUUACUGUGCAGUGUUAUUCCUCAGGCACCUCAAUAUUAUGAUGAAUAUGUGACCUUCAACGGAUCUUAUCUACUGGAUGGCAAUCCCCUGAGCAAGAUAUGCAUUCCAACUAUUACACCUCCUCCCUCGCUGUCAGACCCACUUAAGGAACUAUUUAAACAACAGGAGGUUGUAAGGAUGAAACUACGUUUACAGCACAGUAUUGAAAGGGAAAAGCUUAUUGUUUCUAAUGAGCAAGAAGUCCUCCGUGUUCAUUACCGAGCAGCAAGGACUCUAGCUAAUCAAACACUACCGUUCAGUGCCUGCACUGUUCUGCUGGACGCCGAGGUUUACAAUGUGCCCCUGGAUGCUCAGACUGAUGACAGCAAAACAUCAGUGAGGGAUCGAUUCAACGCGCGACAGUUUAUGUCAUGGUUACAGGAUGUCGAUGAUAAGUUUGACAAAUUAAAGACGUGCCUUUUGAUGAGGCAGCAGCAUGAAGCAGCAGCUUUAAAUGCAGUACAAAGGCUGGAGUGGCAGCUUAAACUACAAGAACUCGAUCCUGCUACGUACAAAUCCAUCAGCAUUUAUGAAAUUCAGGAAUUCUACGUUCCUCUUGUUGAUGUUAAUGACGACUUUGAAUUGACACCAAUAUGACAACCAGUACCUACUGGCUUUUGCCUUUGGACUGCCAGAGACUGAGGUGCAGCGAUUCACAAAGGUGAACUGCUGCUCCUUGUGCUUAUGUGAACGCCCAGGACUCCUUCAUUUUGAUGCUGAGCUAGAGGCUGUGGACAACAGACUCCUUCCAGCUGCACGUCACUGCAGGCUGCAGUCAAGAAUAAAGUGAUAGUAACACGAGCGCAGUAAUACUGGAUUAAGCACAAAUUCACAGGUUGUUUUCAGUUGAUGCCAACUACUGAACAUCCCACUGUCCAAAGUGUUGGCACCCAUGUUGUGGUCCCAUACACCACACACUCUCCUGCCCUCUGUGACCUGGAUCCAAGCUGUGUUCCAGUUGUGCUUUUCCAGGUUUGUGCUGCAGUAUGAUCUCCAGAGUGUAUUUCCGUUAUUUCCACCAAGCAAUGCAAGUUGGAGCUGAGUGUGAGGGAUGGCUGCCACGUAGCAUUGCUUCUCCCUCCUGAGGGACAGCUACUUCCAGGAAAGCCAGGCGCUGCUGAGUUCCUCCUGGGUUUUCCUCCAGGGAUGAAACACAUUACUUAGGUCUUGUUGCACUUGGGUUGAGGCAGUCACAGAUCACUACGUGGGGGCAACACCCGGCCGACAGCCCAGCUGCGUUCCGGGUCCUGCCUAGCGGCUCUCCACAACCACCGCGGGGGUCGUCGGACUCGGCGGCCCCGGAGCUCCGCAGCGGUCUCUGCGCACCGACACAAAAGCCACACUCCUGCCCGGCACUUAACUAGGCUGCUACUAAGCGCAUCGUCAGGCGACGGCUCCUGCUGCAUCUUUGUAGCACGAGCAGACCGCUCCCUCUCCCCCGCACAG